GAAGAAGUCGCCCCGGCAGCUCGAUCCGAACUCUGCUGCUGCUCCGAGGCCGAUGGGUCGUCGCAAGCGACGGGACUGGGCGGAUCGGGAAAUGAGUCCCAUUCCGGGAAGUUCAGCAUUGGCGCUGUGUCGUGUUGGAGGGUGAGAUUGUUGCCCGCCGCUGCUCGUCUCCGACCUCUGGCCCGGGGUGAGGUUCUGCGUACAGCUGCAGGCCGUCGGUUUUCAGAGUGCCUGAGUUGGAUGAGAAGCGUCCCGCCGAAUUGUGCGCCUCUGCGCGACAGCCCCCGCCGGUCUGUCCCUCGCCAGGAGCCUCACCGGGCUUCACGUCCGGUGUGUUCUCACAGAAACCAAAAUUGGAGAAGCGGUGUGUUUCCUUUGAGGCAUCUCUUGACGCUGCUUCACGCGGUGCUGGCUCGCUGUCGGUCACGCGCUCAGGUGAGUGCUCGGUGUCGGGAGAGUGGCCGGUCUGCUCCUUCACAUACUGCGCGGGGACGUAAAAGGGCCUGGCGUGCCGGUCCCUGCGGACGCGCCACCAGUGGUCGUUGGUCUUCGACACCAGGAUGAAGCUUUCGUUGGGCUUGAUGGACACGCGGCGGCCGUCCUUCGCUGUGUACUCAAACUCGUGCUGCACCGACACGAGCCCCAUGCUCCGGCGUGGCCUCUCGAGUCAACAUCCGAACAUCACGGAGCUGCGGAAAUAGAGGAAACGUGAAUGUGAUGUGGCUUUCAAAAAAAAAAGAGAAGAAGCUAUUAUAAAUGUAUGUCAGUGUCACAUUUAAACUGCACUCUGAUAUAUGGGAAAACCCACCAGACUGAUAAGAUUUUGUGAUAUUUUUCUACUCCUUGUACUCCUUGUAGUACUUUUGUGUCAUUUUGGAGUAAUUUUUCCAAUGUUUUAUGUCUCUUUGUAGUCGUUUAGUGUCUUUUUGUCGUACUUCUGUAUCUGUUUGUGGCCAUUUUGACUCUCUUUGUUGUAGUUUUGGUUCCCUCUUGUCCACUAGCCACAGUUUAUGUCUUUUUGUAGUUGUCCAGUGUCUCUUUGUUGUAGUUUUGGAUAACAUUGUGUCUUUUCUGUGUUUAUGUUGAUGUUUUAUGCCUCUUUGUGGGGAUUUUUGCAGUCUUGUGACUGACUUCACAACUAGAAAUGUUAUAAACAGCCAUGGUUGUAAUUACCAUGAGGUUCAGAUUUGAACGUGAGUAUGAACAAAAGCGCGGCGAAUAUUAAAAAGCCACUUUCUUUAUGCUGCAUGUAGGAAAAGACAGGAAGUUGCUUCCAUUUGCUGCAAAGCAACUUCAGCCUAAAGAUCACUAGAGCAGCAGACUGAAAAUUGCUGCGCAGCCACAAAACAGGAAGCCUGCACCGACCUAAACUCGGCGUCGGCCUGACGUCAGCCGGCAAUCUCAGUUUUCUUCUCUGGGUUGGUUGCAGCCAUGAAGCCCCUCAGCGUACUUGUUGUCUCCUACAACACACACGUUACGACAAAACGACAGUAUUUUUGCGUUAGCAGCUAUUUCACUCACGAGUUUGUGUUUUUUUGUAGCCAUAUUAUUAAAUCUUCACGUAAACCUGUUAUUUUUAAAACGUGGGGAAACUGUUACACGUUAAAAAAUCAUAGGAAUAAUAUAGAAAAUCGAAAAAGUUAACCAACAUGGGAAAAAUGUCUUUACGAAGCCCCGUGACUCAAGUUAAGUUUAAAACACAACACACUGAUGGAUUUGGCAACUUUAAGUUUGAUUUUACUGUCAGAUACGUCCUGUCAACUGUACUGCUCAACAACUAAUAACAUCCUGAGGCUCCAGAGCAAUAAUUCAUCUACCUGCCUGAUUUUGUGCCCAAGGUUUUUCCUCCGUCAACAGCCGAGAGCCAGACUCGUACAGGCACAAGCCGCCGCCUGGACGCGUUGCUUCUGUUUCAUCUGCCUCGCUCUUGUUUCCUGUUCCCGUGUGUGAAUGUUCGUCUCAACCUGCAAGGGGCCACCAGCGAACAUCGCUGCACUGACGCCACGAGAAAUGGGAAGUCUGAUUUUAAAUUUGUGAGUUAUUUUCGUGGCAUUUUCCCGGACAGAUGGGGGGGGGGAGGGCUGGCAAGAGCGGCAAGACCGUGGCACAUUUAUUUUGAUAUUACAACACAGCAAUGCUAAAAAUGUAAGAGACUAUGUUUUUUAAAAAGGAGGAGGAAAAAGGGAAUACUGUCUUUUCUUUUAGGCAGAUGAUAGACAUACUAAAAAUGUACACACAACACCAUUCUGCCUUCUAAAUGUCAAGGACACAUGAGGAGGUGUAUUGGUAGUUGUGUGUUUAUCACCACUGACAACCGCUUCACCCACCACACACUGAAAAAGAAAAACGCCCUCUGCUGGAAGUUACACUCAACUACAAUCGACCAUGUGUUUUCAAGUUCUGUCGUAAGAUUGUUGGAGUUAGGGAAGGACUUACCACGUGGGGGAGGUACCCCGGCCAAUGUGUCACUACCCAUCAUGCACCGCGAAACAUUUAAAACGCUCCUGAAUUCAUCGUUUGGAUUUUAACAAUUUAAAGUGUAAUAAUCGUGUCCAACAUACGAUAGAAGUCAUUUCGCGCGUCCCCGUCAAUCGAUUAUAUACCUUUGGCGGACAACUGAUUACGUGACACCGUCAGUGUAUGAUGUGUGUCGGCGCCUCACUCCCUCUUGUUUCACAAAGAAGUAGCAAUACACUCAUGUUUCUCUUCAUAUCGUAUAAAUCUUUCGCCUUUUACUAAAGAUUUCCGUGGAGAGGAACAUUAUGAGUUCAAACGAAUUUUUUGAUGCCCUGCCUCGUGCGGGGCUUCCUGAGAUGUUCAAAGUAAUAACCCAAAUUAAUGAGCGAAAUUCUCUAUAUUAAAAUGUCUUAGUGAACAGGAGCAAUAGGUGAUGAUUGAGCUGCUUGUUCAGAAAUAAAAAUGACA